rnacentral:rRNA from 1 species
CUGAUUCAGGGAGGUAGCGACAAGAAAUAACGAUAGCGGGCUCGUUCGAGUCCGUGCAUCGGAAUGAGGAUAAUUUACACCCCUUCUCGAGGAUCCAUUGGAGGGCAAGUCUGGUGCCAGCAGCCGCGGUAAUUCCAGCUCCAAUAGCGUAUACUAAAGUUGUUGCAGUUAAAAAGCUCGUAGUCGAAUGUAGGUUUUGUUACUACGCGAUCUCUUGGGUGUAACUUGAGUGGACUGCGUGUAACAACCUUCCCGGAUAUAACAGAGGUAGUCUGGGUAAUCUCAGGUUAUGUCUUGUUAUAUGCAUUACUGUGAACAAAAUAGAGUGUUCAUGGCAGGCCAAUUUAGGCUUGGAUACCUCAGCAUGGAAUAAUAGAAUAGGACUUCUGGUUCUAUUUUGUGGUUUUUGGAGCCGAAGUAAUGAUUAAUAGGGAUAGUUGGGGGCACUCGUACUCCGUUGUCAGAGGUGAAAUUCUUGGAUUGACGGAAGACGAACAACUGCGAAAGCA